rnacentral:lncRNA from 1 species
GUAUUUGAAUUUGUGGCGCUUGGUGUCCGCGAGUUGCCGAAUGAAGCUGAGCGUCUCAGUGGAACCAGGGAUCUCAGGGAGGGGAAGGUAUAAAAUUUUCAAAUGGAGGAGUAUACCUGAACCUAAUCAUGGAUGUGAUUUUAUAUACAGAUAAGCUGAUUCUAAAACUUACAAGAAUGGCAAAGAAACAAGAAGAGCUUAAACUGCAAUCAUCAACAGAGAAGCUUUCUGCAACCAAAGUGAAGACUGAAGCCUUAGGCUAUGGCAGAAGUUGGGCGCCUGAAGUACACGUGGAAAUAUGCCAACUGAACAUUGGACUACCACGUCAAGGGUCUCCUACCCCUGGGCCAUGGAUCAAUACCAGUCUGUGACCUGUUAGGAACCGGUAGCAGGAGCGCCUGCCCCUGGCUCAGCGCCCGGUGCCAACAGAACACCUUUCAGGAUCCACAGCAACGCAGACAACGGAACUCACAAGGGCUUCGGUUCUCAAGAGGCCAUCAAAACAUAACUGCUGCCGAGACAAUACCUUUCCUUCCCCUCACUACAUUCACUGAAUGUUCUGGAUCAGUGCGUCUCACACCUUUGGAUCUUAUAAGCUACUUGGAAAAAUUUUAAAGCACCUGAUGGAUUUGGAAAAUAUUUAAUGAAGACAAUGAUGCUGACAUCUCAAGUUAAAAGGUUCUACAGAGAAGGCAAAGAUUUUGAAGGCACAGGAGACUAUCAUAGAUAUUCACAACGGCAUCUCCCUAAAGGAUUUGAAAGCUUUGCAUCAACCAAAGGAAAAGCACCAGUGAGAGUCAAGAUACAGUUCCAGACAGGUGCUACUUCUUAUUCAAAAGGUAUCAAGGUCUUGUUCUUAUAUGUUCAGAUCAGUGCUGGAAAUGAUGAAGACAGAGAGACUGGAAGGAAGAACACAACAGUUGAGCCUCAUCAGUGAAAAGAAGGACUGACUUCCAGUUCCAGACAAGUGACUGAGUAGAUUUUGACAGACAGGCAUGGAGCAGGCAGGCUGGCUGGAAACUUCAGUGAUUAUAAAAGUUAAGGAGCCUUUCUGAAGAUGUAAUUGGUUAAGAUAAGAUCAUACUGGAUGUGGAUGGGUCCUAGAUCUGACUGCUGAUAUCCUUAUAAGAAGAAGAAAGGACACGCGGAGACUACAGUGAUGUUGCCACAAGCCAAGAAAUGCCAAGAAUUUCGGGAGCCACCAGAAGAUGGAAGAGGCAGGGAAAAAUCCUCCCCUAAAGCCUUCAGAGAGAGCAUAGCUCUGCCAACACCUUGAUUCUGGACAUCUAGCCUCUUAAACUUCCUCAGGUGUCUCAUUUCUUCUGUCUCAGAAGUCAUGGAUGUCAAUGAAGAUAUGGAAUUCACUUAUUCAUUCUUAUAAAUAUUACUUAGUGUCCUUGUGCUUGGCACUGUGCUUGGUCAUUGAGAUCUACUGUUCAAAAGCAAGAUAACAUACAGGCUGGAAUAGCGAGAUGCAAGAAUCCCAAGCCUUCAAAGCCAGCUCCUGCAGAAGAGAGAGGGCCUGGCAGCUGAGCUGGAUGCUUCAGGAGCAGAGGAUCUAUCAACUGCAGACCAAGCACAGGGAGACGCAGGCAAACCUGGAACAGUAACCCAGCCAGCUCCAAUUGCUCCGACAGUACUUGGUGGCCAGAGAGUCGGCAGCAGAAAGCAUGCCCCGGGCCGUGAAGCAGGAAAUCGACUCUGACUCAAUCCUUGAGGUCUGAAGCAGAUCUAUAGACAGAGCCAGACACCACUCCUCAAACAGCAGAGAGAUGUAAGGAAGUACAGCUAUUUGACUUCACCCUUAAAGGAUUUACACUGAUCGUGGAAGAUGGUUUUCUUGUGAACCCACCCAAAGGAAAAUUCUGAAUCCACCUAAAGGAAAUUUCUGGUUUUUCCAAAUUGAACAUCAAAAUUAAAUGCAGGGAAAUUUAGUGUUUUGCAUGCCCAAAUAUUCAUUGGUUCCUCAGCAUGUUAGUGGGAUCAAAUCAGAAGAGGUUCCCAAUUAAACAUUUAAAAAAUGCAUUCACACAAAUCAAAACUACAAUGAGAUAUCAUCUCACCCCAGUUAAAAUGGCUUCUAUCCAAAAGACAGGCAAUAACACAUGCUGGCAAGAAUAUGGAGAAAAGAGAACCCUCAUACACUGUUAGUGGGAAUGUAAAUUAGUACAACCACUGUGGAAAACAGUUUGAAGUUUCCUCAAAAAGCUAAAAAUAGAACUACCAUACAACCCAGCAAUCCCACUCCUAGGUUUAUACUCAAAGGAAAUCAGUAUAUCAAAGAUAUCUGUACACCCAUGUUUAUGGCAGUACUAUUCACAAUAGCCAAGAUUUGGAAGCAACCUGAGUGUCCAUCAACAGACAAAUGGAAAGAAAAUGUGGUACAUAUACACAAUGGAGUACUAUUCAGCCAUAAAAAAGAAUGAGAUCCAGUAAUUUGAAACAUGGAUGGAACUGAAGGUCAUUACAUUAAGUGAAAUAAACCAGG